UACGAAGGGGGCUAGCGUUGCUCGGAAUCACUGGGCGUAAAGGGUGCGUAGGCGGGUCUUUUAAGUCAGGGGUGAAAUCCUGGAGCUCAACUCCAGAACUGCCUUUGAUACUGAGGAUCUUGAGUCGGGAGAGGUGAGUGGAACUGCGAGUGUAGAGGUGAAAUUCGUAGAUAUUCGCAAGAACACCAGUGGCGAAGGCGGCUC
rnacentral:rRNA from 1 species